GUGCCAGCAGCCGCGGUAAUACGUACCGUCCAAACGUUAUUCGGAAUUACUGGGCUUAAAGGGUACGUAGGCGGCGCUGUCAGUCGGGUGUGAAAUCCCAGGGCUCAACCCUGGAACUGCGCCCGAUACUGCAGUGCUUGAGGGAGACAGAGGUAAGCGGAACUGAUGGUGGAGCGGUGAAAUGCGUUGAUAUCAUCAGGAACACCAGUGGCGAAAGCGGCUUACUGGGUCUCUUCUGACGCUGAGGUACGAAAGCUAGGGGAGCGAAGGGGAUUAGAAACCCGCGUAGUCC
rnacentral:rRNA from 1 species